rnacentral:misc_RNA from 1 species
AAGCAGCCAACUACAACUCAGGCCAGGAAAAACACAAAACAGUCUUGACAAUAAUGAUCAUACAUCACUUAAAUAUUGAUCUAUCACUGUUUCACAUGUACAAGGGCUACAUUUCAAAAUAAACAACGCAGCAGAUGGUCAUUUAUUUACAAAACCUCCACCACAGUGGCCUUGCUUGGCUAUCAACAUCCCAUCAAAAGUGAGCGUCUUAAUCCUCCAUAAUUGCGAAACUAUUUAUAUAGCUUUGCAACACAAGCUUAUGAGGAAUAGCCAGAGAGAAACAUGGAGAAAUAUGAUGUCAAACAAAAGAGUCCAACCAGCAGACUUAAAUUUUCAAUUCAGGUCGCUGGUCAGAAGAUGCCCAGGCAAUAAAUAAUUAUCAAAAUAUGAAAACUAAAUUAAGUAAUGUCAAAAAUUUCUACACCCUUUUAAAGUAUAUCAAAUUGAAGCACAAUACUUCUACCAGGUAGAAAGGUAAAUUCUGAUAGUUUCAAUUAUGCACCUGCAAUCUAAGG